CAAUGUCGAACUCCUAGGCUCCAGCGCAAAUCUUGCUUCAUCCUCUGGAUAGCCGGGUACCAGGCAUGGGCCCGCGCUCUGAGCUGAGCAUGACUAAGCAUGGUUGUUUUACAUUGUGUCUGAUCAUUGGAGUCUCUGUAUUUUUAUUGCCUGUUAUUUUUGCUGAUUUUUAAAAACCUUUUUAUUGGGGUCACUUUUUAUUGGCUGGUUAUCUUUACCUUGAUAGUGGCUGUCGUGUUUGAAUAAUUGCACAAUGUGAAGUAAGCAGUGUUCUGUAGAUUAUGUGAAAGGAAGAUCAAAGCUUGUGGUAUCCAAGGUCAUUAGGGCAGUUUAAUUCACUCUGCAAUCACACGUGAGGUCUCCUUCAUUUCAGUUUACUCCCUGCCUAGAGACAUCCCCUGAGGUCCCACUUCUGUGAAGAGGAUCUUGGAGAUUUCAACCCCUCUUGUUUCACUCCUGGGUUUUGAUUCUUUUCAUCUCCUCAUGAGCUUCCCAUUUUCCUGACUUGAGAACAAAGGUCUACUUCAUGUUCAUUUCAUUUAUAGCUUUCUGCUUUCAUCAGAAUAAUGCCUGCUUUUUUUCCCCCUUGCUGGAAAUGGAACCCUGGGUCUCGUGCAUGUUAGGAAAGCCAUUUCCUGUGAACUAAACCCCAGCCAGUUUUGUGAUUCCUUUCUGUCUUUUCACAUCACUUAUUCACCUAUGGAACUGGAAAAGCAUCCAGCCUUAAAAGUUGUUUUAAAGCAGUGGGGAACUUAAUCCAAACUUGGUCUGCAAUUAAUGGAAGCAGCUAGCUUACAGUGAGAUUUUAAGUUGGCAUGAUCUUGUGAUUAUCCAAUUUUUGGAUAUAUUGGGAUGAUCAUUUGCCGUGACCUGCAUGGCCAAACUCUAGAAACCAGCAAGGGGCCAUGGGGUAUUAAUAAAGACACACAAACAUUAAGAGAGAAAGCUGGGAUCAGGUGAGACACUGACCUCUAGUUGAGAACAGUGACCCAGAGCUGGCUCAACAUGUUUAUUAUAUGGGUUUUUAUCAUCAAAAGAUUAUUUGUGGGAAAGUUCUGCAAAAGAGAGCAAAGUGGAGAGGACAGAUGAACUUUGUGUUUGUAGCCUUUGGAGAUUUUAUGAUUGUGUUCCUGUGUUUAGGAAGGCGAGUGUACAGUGGAUAUUUUGGGAGUAUCUGGGGUGGACUGGUCAGGGACUGUGGAUUGUUUAUCCUGAUAUCCAUCUUUGCCCUCUUAGAAUCAUCAAUGUUUUGCUAAGAUGCAUAGCAUUCUGGAAUAUAUAGAUUAUAUUUGAACCACUUUCUUGAAGCUGGUUUGAUUAAAUGACUUUGUCCUGUCACAUGUGGAAAAGUCAAAGGUUUUGUGAUAAUUCUGAUAGCUUUUGCUAACAGAAAACUAGGACAGUCUGUCCCCAUCUUCCACCUUCAUCCUUUCUGCUGCUUUCAAUAUCGAUGAUGUAACUGGAGCCCCAUCUCAGACCAUGAGGACAAGGUCUACUUUCAGGAACAAGGGAUAGAUAGCUAGAGUCAAUCUGGGCAGAUGACCCUGGGUCCAUGCUCGGGUCUGAUUAUUUGUGAUCUGUACUCCCCCCACCCCAGAUUCAUAAGUUUAAGUCCAAUAUUGUGGCAUGAAAAAGGGGGAAUUUUGGAAGGUGAUUAUGUCAUUAUCCUUUAUGAAUGGGUAUAGUUCCCUCUUUUGAAUGAGCUCAGUGGGAGAUUUCUUUACCCUUCCAGCAUGCAAGGAAACACACAGAAGUUCCAUCUAUGAUGAGCAGGCCUUCUCCAAACACCAAAACUAUUAACACCCUGUUCUUUCCAGCCUCCAGAACUGUGACUAGACAUUUUUGCUGUUUAUGAAUUCUCCAGCCUAAGAUAUUUAUUUUGCUAUGGCAUCCCAGAUGGACUAAGAUAAUUCCUUUCCUCUUGGGGUUGUCCUAUCAAGAUCAGAAUCCUAGUCUGCUACUUACUAGCUGUUUGGCUUGGGGAAAAUCAUUUAUCUCACUAAGGCUUCCUUACUUUACUACUUAAUCGUACCCCCUUUUGUUCUCUUUUGAAGAUUUACAAGUCUGCAUGUACAAUAUAACUGAGCCAAUAUCUUCUAAGCAUUUGCAGUACAUCGAGUCCAAUUUUUUUCCUUUCUUUAUUUUUGCAUCGUGACUUUAAAGCUUAAAUGUUUUAAAAUCAUAAAAGAAAUAUGUUUACAUUUCUAUAUUUAUUUCUUUAUGGUACUUGGGAUAGAACCCAAGACUUUGCACAUGCUAGGGAAGUGCUCUUCCCCUGAGGUAACUUCCUAACCCCAAAGAGAUGUUUGAGUUUUGGAAAACAUGGCAACCUGAUGUUGGAGGAAACCACUGGAACAUUCAGUAGUUUCUAAAUAUCCACAGUUAUGUCUGAGAAACUUUGAUCUGGUCUGCUACUGGCUCCAAUGUGAACUUAAAAUUUGAAGAUGCACAACCAGAAAUCCCUUCUCCCUUAGAUGUUGCAGGUAGUGGAAGUUGCAGGGGUUUUGAAUACAGUGGGAAGACAAAGGAGUGAGGUUAUGGGUGGAAUGGUGGGGGCUGAGGUGGGGGUAAGGGGGUGUCCACUUCAGCACCACGGACAGUAGCUUCCCCUGCCCUGGCUCCUCUCUCUGCCUGUAGGUGUCUCCCGCUGGACACAGGAGGCCACAGACUGGGUGGAUGGGAGGACUACUGGCUGUAAAAUUAGAGAGGAACACCGAUGGCCAAGUGAGACCAAAAUAAAUAAAUAAAUAAAUGCAGUAUUAGAGGAAAGUCACCUUUAUUUUUCUCUUUAUUUAUCUUGCAAGUCCUUUUCUUAUUACAAAAUGAUAUGUAUCCAUAGAAGAAAGUGUAAAAAAUAAAAUUC
rnacentral:lncRNA from 1 species